AUUGAACGCUGGCGGCAUGCCUUACACAUGCAAGUCGAACGGCAGCAUAGAAGAGCUUGCUCUUCUGAUGGCGAGUGGCGAACGGGUGAGUAAAGCAUCGGAACGUACCGUGUAGUGGGGGAUAACGUAGCGAAAGUUACGCUAAUACCGCAUACGCACUGAGGUGGAAAGCAGGGGAUCGCAAGACCUUGCGCUAUACGAGCGGCCGAUGUCAGAUUAGCUAGUUGGUAGGGUAAAGGCCUACCAAGGCGACGAUCUGUAGCGGGUCUGAGAGGAUGAUCCGCCACACUGGGACUGAGACACGGCCCAGACUCCUACGGGAGGCAGCAGUGGGGAAUUUUGGACAAUGGGCGAAAGCCUGAUCCAGCCAUGCCGCGUGAGUGAAGAAGGCCU
rnacentral:rRNA from 1 species